rnacentral:rRNA from 1 species
AGAGUUUGAUCCUGGCUCAGAUUGAACGCUGGCGGCAUGCCUUACACAUGCAAGUCGAACGGCAGCACGGGGGCAACCCUGGUGGCGAGUGGCGAACGGGUGAGUAAUACAUCGGAACGUGUCCUGGAGUGGGGGAUAGCCCGGCGAAAGCCGGAUUAAUACCGCAUACGCUCGAGAGAGGAAAGCGGGGGAUCUUCGGACCUCGCGCUCAAGGGGCGGCCGAUGGCGGAUUAGCUAGUUGGUAGGGUAAAGGCUUACCAAGGCGACGAUCCGUAGCUGGUCUGAGAGGACGACCAGCCACACUGGGACUGAGACACGGCCCAGACUCCUACGGGAGGCAGCAGUGGGGAAUUUUGGACAAUGGGGGCAACCCUGAUCCAGCAAUGCCGCGUGUGUGAAGAAGGCCUUCGGG